GAGCUUGCUCCCGGAUGUUAGCGGCGGACGGGUGAGUAACACGUGGGUAACCUGCCUGUAAGACUGGGAUAACUCCGGGAAACCGGAGCUAAUACCGGAUAGUUCCUUGAACCGCAUGGUUCAAGGAUGAAAGACGGUUUCGGCUGUCACUUACAGAUGGACCCGCGGCGCAUUAGCUAGUUGGUGAGGUAACGGCUCACCAAGGCGACGAUGCGUAGCCGACCUGAGAGGGUGAUCGGCCACACUGGGACUGAGACACGGCCCAGACUCCUACGGGAGGCAGCAGUAGGGAAUCUUCCGCAAUGGACGAAAGUCUGACGGAGCAACGCCGCGUGAGUGAUGAAGGUUUUCGGAUCGUAAAGCUCUGUUGUUAGGGAAGAACAAGUGCAAGAGUAACUGCUUGCACCUUGACGGUACCUAACCAGAAAGCCACGGCUAACUACGUGCCAGCAGCCGCGG
rnacentral:rRNA from 1 species